rnacentral:rRNA from 1 species
UAGGGAAUCUUCCGCAAUGGGCGAAAGCUUGACGGAGCAACGCCGCGUGAGUGAUGAAGGUCUUCGGAUCGUAAAACUCUGUUAUUAGGGAAGAACAAAUGUGUAAGUAACUAUGCACGUCUUGACGUUACCUAUUCAGAAAGCCACGGCUAACUACGUGCCAGCAGCCGCGGUAAUACGUAGGUGGCAAGCGUUAUCCGGAAUUAUUGGGCGUAAAGCGCGCGUAGGCGGUUUUUUAAGUCUGAUGUGAAAGCCCACGGCUCAACCGUGGAGGGUCAUUGGAAACUGGAAAACUUGAGUGCAGAAGAGGAAAGUGGAAUUCCAUGUGUAGCGGUGAAAUGCGCAGAGAUAUGGAGGAACACCAGUGGCGAAGGCGACUUUCUGGUCUGUAACUGACGCUGAUGUGCGAAAGCGUGGGGAUCAAACAGG